UUUCCCCUUUCCUUAUUUUAUCAACACUGGUCAUGCAGGAAAUCUCAAAGGAAAAAUCCCCAUUUGUAGCAAAAGUUUGUUUGGUGCCAAAAUGUUUGGGGGAAGGGGCUUUAAGAACUAAUCAAAAUACACUGAAGUUUUAAAUGUUUCAUUAUGCUGUACUUUGGAAAUUGGAUGUAUGUUGAAAAUACUUUUCAUUUCAUGUAUAGCUGGAGAAGAUCGUCCAGAGAGAACUUCAUUUCAUUAUAAUUCCUGUGUUAUAAAGUGAUGUAGUUGCUGAUUAUUUUUGUUCAGCCAUAUUUUCUCUUGAGGCUUAUUUGUCCUGUGUAUUUUAGUGUUUUUCUUACAAUUUAAUUAAGAAUAUUCUUUUUUUAGCACAUGAAAUCUGAACAGCUUUCCAGCUUCUUCAGGUAUUCUAUAAAAUAUGGGUAGCUCUGUAAACAUAUCAGAAAAUUCUUUGUGGAAAUGUAUUCUUUUAACCAAUAAACUAUUAUCCAAAUGUACCAAAAGAGGAACUAUGGCUUCUAUAAUUUUUUUUUCUUUAGACCAACCUCAAGUUCUUGCAGCAAAAUUUCUUUACUUGAUGUGCUACAAGUGAACUAGGGUCUUUAAAAUGUAUUGUAGAAUUUUUUUUCCAACAUGCUUCUUCCCUUGCAACAGGUACCGUUUUGCAGAGAUUCGCUACCAUCGCCCUGAGGAGACCCACAAGGGGCGUACAGUUCCAGCUCAUGUGGAGACAGUGGUUUUAUUUUUCCCGGAUGUUUGGCAUUGCCUUCCCACCCGCUCAGAGUGGGAAACCCUCUCCCGAGGAUACAAGCAGCAGCUGGUCGAGAAGCUUCAGGGUGAACGCAAGAAGGCUGAUGGAGAACAGGCACUGAACGCUAAUCCCUUUUUCUAUUUCCGCUUCUCACAGGCACAGGAACACAGGCACAAAUGCACACCACACACUACAUAACAGACACACAUGGAGGAACAUAACUGGUAACAGCGACUGGUAAUCCAGCUUUCAGCAGUAUAGUUGCAUUUUCUUUUCUCAUAAAAAUCUGUCUAUUAUGCUGACUUAAAUUUAAGAGUGCUGAGACCUCAGAAGUUGUGCUUACAGUGCACAGAAGUUUGUUUUAUCAUAGGUCUAUUUGCUGGAACCUGGCACCAGUUGUUGAGCAAGAUUCAGUAUUAAGCCAUUUUAAACAUUUUGCCAUUUUCUCAAAUUAUAAAAAUUUUCUCUUUUACGGUCAUCAGUUCUAGUCAUGGAUAUUUGAAAUUGGACAACCACAAGUCUGAGAGCUUUGAAAUUUCAGGCUAUGUGGCAACGUCUUGGGUACAUUUCAAAGGUCUGCCUAAAUCAGUCUUUGGGUGGUUUGAAAAUUGGGGCAAGAUCACACACUGUGUGGUUAGUGGAGACCGGCAGUGUCUGUGUAUCCCGAUAUCCUUUGUGUUGUAAUUUAUCACCCUUUUGUGUUUCACAGAUCUGGCUUUGAUUGGCUGAUGUCUUUGUGGUCAGUUAAAAGUGGUAGAAUGUAUGGAUGUGGACUUGCCUAAAUAAUAACUUUAGGAGAAGACAAUCUGAAACAUUGUGACCUUGCACAGAUCAGCAACAGACUUUAAAAAAUAAAUUACUUAUGUAUUUCUAGGUUUCAGAAUAGUAAUGUUGUUCUCAACUUUGUAUGUUAGGAUGAAGAAGAGAAGGAUGAUGGUGAAGUUAAAGAGAUCGCCACUCCUACCCAUUGGUCUAAGCUUGAUCCAAAGGCAAUGAAGGUAACUGAAAAUGUAGACAUAUAUAUUGUGUAUAUACACACAAUAACAAGUAAAAAUUUUAAAUUUCUGAACAGAAAUUAGUAAACUUAUUGAGACUGAAAAUAAUUACUUGAAGUGGGAAAUGUAAUGUGAUGAUUUAUAGGUGUGAUGGUUUAUAUCCAUCGUGUCAGGAUUUAGUGGGCAACAGCAGGAGGAUUGCCAUGCAUUUCAGGAGAGUGAGUUCUAGGCUAGCCUAGCCUUUAGAGGGAGACCUUGUCUGUAAAAGGUCUGCAGUGUAGGGCAUGGUGGCACACACCUUUAAUCCUAGUGCUUGAGAGACAGAAACAGGCAGAUCUCUGAGUUUCAGAGCUAGUUUUAAGACAGAUUGGGGGAGAGAGGAUCUACACAGAAAAAAAACCUUGUCUCAAAAAUCAAACAAAUAGAUGAAUAAAUAUAAAAUGAAAAAGGUUUGGGCAUUCAAAGUCAAGUUUUCUGGUUGUCUUUAACUCUGAUGUCUUGUGUUUGUACAUAUAUAAAUUAAAGUGCCUAUGUAGUUCAGGUGCAGUGUCUCAGUGCCUCCAGUACAACUAUGUUGAUAGUGCUGUUUUCUGGUUUGGGAAGUGACUAGAACUAUAGAAUUUCUAUGGCUAAAUAACCUAAAUUUAAGGAGAAUAGAAGAGACAUAGGAAAAAGGUAGGCAUUAGUGGUGUACACCUUUAAUCCCAGCACUUAGGAUGCAGAGGCAGGCAGAUCUCAGAAUUCUAGGCCAGUCUGGUGAACAGAGCUAGUUCCAGAACAGCCAGCACUACACAGAAGAAAUCCUGUCUUCAAACAAACAAGCAGAAGGUAAAUCUCAUUUAUUUUAUAUGUUUUUUUUUUUUUUAGGUCAGGGUUUCUCUGUAGUAGUCCUUGCUAUUCUAAUACUUGCUUUGUAGACUAGGACGACCUCAAACUCAGAGAUCCAUCUGCCUCUGCCUUCCACAUGCUGGGAUUAAAGGUGUAGGUCACUACCCAAUGGUAAAUCUGAUUUUUAUAAUAAUUUUUAAAGUAAAAUGUAGGUAAGCACAUUACUAAACUGGGAAAGAAAGACUGUAAACCCUUGAUUCAGGUAGCUGAGAGACUGUGUCUGUGCAGUAGAUCUGGACUAGUGCUUAUUUGUGUCAGGUCUGUGGUUUUGAGACAGGGUUUCCCUGUGUAACUCUGGUCUAGCUGUGUAAAUCUCAUUAGCCUUAAACUUCACUUGCCUCUGAACUCAGAAAUCCACCUGCCUCUGCCUUCCCAGUGCUGGGUUUAGAAGCAUGGCCACCAUACCCAGACCAGUGUAAUCAUUUUUAUUUAUUUUUAAUUUUUUUACAAAUCCACUUUUAUUUAUUUAACUCUCCAUUAGUUUAAAUCCGGGGUGGGAACAGCAUCACACGGAUUCUGUGUCCAAUGGUCUUUGCAGGAAGGUUGCUUCAGAAUUUGGAACCACACCACUGUUUGCUUGGGCCGAGUUACUUUUCCCCAGAUCGCUCUGGUUUUGUUUGGUUUGCCUCAGGAGUCACUUGCUUUAUACACAUAAGCACAUCUCUUUAUACACAUAAUCACAUAAGCAGAACUCCGUUUCAUCUCGUGCCUUCAAUUUUAAGAACAGCCUUGUGCCUCUCUUUGGUUCCAUAGACCUCGCUUGUAGCCAGCAAAAAUGGCCUUGCACCACAGCCUUCCUUCCAGACAGACUUGCUUUUAGAAGUCCUGUUCCCAUUCCCAGCAGGCCUCCACAAGCGCCAAGAUGGCGGAAAGAGACCCAGUAUAAUUAUUUUUAAACUUCACAUUCUAGUUAGUAUAGAUUCUGUGUUUUGUUAAAAAAUAUUUAUUCUUUAUUAAACAUUAAGUUAUUUUACUGUUUUGGUGGGUGGUCAUAGCACUUGGCAAAAUACAUAUAUAAAAAAUUACAUAUUUCUUCCCUUUCCUUUAAGACAAAUUCUUACACUGUUAUUUUUUAAACUGGGAUACUUACCUGGCUUAAAUGUUCUUAAGCAUUUUAAAACUUGUUUAGGGACCUCAAGAGAUGGCUAGGUACGUAAGAGUGGAUACUGCCUUUUUAGAGUUCCCCUGCAUUCACAUGGGAAAGCUCAGAGCUUCUUGUAACUUUAAUUCCAUGUGGACCUGAUACCUGUGGCCUUAAUGGGCCAACACACUUGUGUGUACAGACAUAUACACAUAUUC
rnacentral:lncRNA from 1 species